ensembl:snRNA U6 U6 spliceosomal RNA
GUGCUCACUUGGGCAGGACAUAUACUAAAAUUGGAAUGAUACAGAGAAGAUUAGCAUUGCCCCUAUGCAAGGAUGACAUGGAAAUGCAUGAAGUGUUCCAUAUUUUU